AUUGAACGCUGGCGGCAUGCCUUACACAUGCAAGUCGAACGGCAGCACGGGUGCUUGCACCUGGUGGCGAGUGGCAAACGGGUGAGUAAUACAUCGGAACGUACCUUAUCGUGGGGGAUAACGCAGCGAAAGCUGUGCUAAUACCGCAUACGCCCUGAGGGGUAAAGCGGGGGAUCGAAAGACCCCGCGCGAUUAGAGCGGCCGAUGCCUGAUUAGCUUGUUGGUGGGGUAAAAGCCCACCAAGGCGACGAUCAGUAGCUGGUCUGAGAGGAUGAUCAGCCACACUGGGACUGAGACACGGCCCAGACUCCUACGGGAGGCAGCAGUGGGGAAUUUUGGACAAUGGGGGCAACCCUGAUCCAGCAAUGCCGCGUGAGUGAAGAAGGCCUUCGGGUUGUAAAGCUCUUUUGUCAGGGAAGAAACACCGGCUCUAACACAGUCCGGGAAUGACGGUACCUGAAGAAUAAGCACCGGCUAACUACGUGCCAGCAGCCGCCGUAA
rnacentral:rRNA from 1 species